rnacentral:rRNA from 1 species
GAUGAACGCUGGCGGCGUGCCUAAUACAUGCAAGUCGAGCGAACGGACGAGAAGCUUGCUUCUCUGAUGUUAUCGGCGGACGGGUGAGUAACACGUGGAUAACCUACCUAUAAGACUGGGAUAACUUCGGGAAACCGGAGCUAAUACCGGAUAAUAUUUUGAACCGCAUGGUUCAAAAGUGAAAGACGGUCUUGCUGUCACUUAUAGAUGGAUCCGCGCUGCAUUAGCUAGUUGGUAAGGUAACGGCUUACCAAGGCAACGAUGCAUAGCCGACCUGAGAGGGUGAUCGGCCACACUGGAACUGAGACACGGUCCAGACUCCUACGGGAGGCAGCAGUAGGGAAUCUUCCGCAAUGGGCGAAAGCCUGACGGAGCAACGCCGCGUGAGUGAUGAAGGUCUUCGGAUCGUAAAACUCUGUUAUUAGGGAAGAACAUAUGUGUAAGUAACUGUGCACAUCUUGAUGGUACCUAAUCAGAAAGCCACGGCUAACUACGUG